CGUUCAGCAAAACCCUUUUAGUUCUGCAACUGAACAAGUGAGAACAUUUUAUAAUGAGGUCUCUUUGCUACUUUUGUAACCAAAGCCCAUGAAUGAGUUCAUGACAGGCCUGCCACCCUUAUCACAUUCCCUUCAACAAGGCCUGGUACAACAGUCUGGCACAGGGCAUUACACUGGGAUUUGCACUUAGGGCCUUGAGAGCUGUCUGGAGUAAGCAGACUAUCGACUCUCCACCUACAAAGAAGCCGUACGCACAACUCUGUUCUACAAAACCUCUUUGUGUGAGUUCAACUGUGACCACAGGAUGGAUAAGGUACCAAAAAUUAAAAGCAAAGAUGCUUAAAUCAACUGCAGUCCUUCUGGGCAGAUGUUCCUAAAUGCAAUCCAUCUAAGAGGAAAGAGUUUUUGAGGGAAGGGUGAUCACUGGGCCUCUACAUGCCACACCCGGAAGGCCCAGCAGUGGGGCAAGGAUAGAACACACAGUUUGGCGAUGUGACCCUGCCUGUCUGCACACCUCAGGAUCCCACCACCCAACAGGCAUACAUCUCCUGGAGCUACAGAGAUGCCAAAUGCCAGAGAAGGGAAGCAGGAAGGGAGAUGAAGACAAGGAACUCUGAAAAAUGGAAGCAGAAACACAGGCUGUAUUUUCCCCUAUCCUUCUUUUCUUUGUUCCCUUUUUUCUCUUUUGAAUGAAAAAUAAAAAUGCAGAAAACCUCA